rnacentral:misc_RNA from 1 species
GGUUGAAAGUAGUCAAGUGCAGCAGCGGGCGACGUUUUUUUGCAACCGCUGCGUAAACAAAAUCUGUUGAUAAGAAGUCCCCCCCCCAGCAAACAAUUAACAAUUAAAAACUCGUCGUGCGUGUGUGCAAAACCUCUGUUGUUUAUCCACAAGAAACAAGUGCGAUUUAAAAAAAAAUAAUAAAUAGAUUCAUCCAGCUUACGAAGCUGUGUUUAUUGUGUGAGUGAGUGUGUGUGUGUGUGUGUGUGUGCGUGCGUGCGUGCGCUUGUGUUUGUGCGUCUCGGGCAGCCUAAAAGCGAAGUCGAAGAUAGCCCGAAAACAGAAAACAGAAGUUAUACAUAUAUCUGUCUGUCAACAUAUUUCGCAAGGCCAAAGUCAGCAUAAAACAGUGGCAAAGGGCGCAGCGGGUGAAAAUUUUCACCAAAAAUUAUAAAAGAAAAACAGUUAAGCGAAGAGGAAGAGGAAGCAGCGUACCAGCUUCAAGUAGAGCCCAAACGCAAAAUCUGUCGCAGGUCGAACGUGACGCAUAGGACGACGCAGCCCUAAAGCCAAUCAAAAUAGAAACAGAGUUGAGCUCGUUUUGUGCGAUUCAUGAUGAUGGAGCUGGAGCCGCGCGUGGCCAUAUUGCAGGAUCUGCGCCUACAGACCUUCGACUCGAUACGCUUUGCCUCGUAUCGGACCGCCUCGAAGUUGCGCUACAUACAAAAGUCGACCAAUUUGCAUUUGGUGGACAUUUGGAAUGUGAUCGAGGCGUUCCGUGAGAAUGGCCUGAACACGUUGGAGCCGCAGAGCGAUGUGAGCGUGGCGCGUCUGGAGACGCUCGUCUCCUCGCUCUAUCACAAUCUGAACAAGCGUCUGCCCACCGCACAGCAGGUGCCCGUGGACUCGAAGGCGGGUCUCUUGCUCAACUGGCUGCUGGCUGCCUACACCAGCGACAACUCGGGCAAAAUACGCGUGUUUUCCAUUAAGGUGGCGCUGGCCACCAUGUGCUCCGGCAAGCUGGUGGACAAGCUCAGAUAUAUCUUUUCACAGAUUUCGGAUGGCGCUGGACAGCUGGUUGCCUGGAAGCUGGGUGAAUUUUUGCGUGAGGUAUUGGCGCUGCCGGCGGCUGUUUAUGAGUCGCCCACAUUCCACUAUAAGGACGGGCUGGAGGAGGAGAUAUUUCCGGCCGAGAAUAAGGUCACCGUGAAUGAUUUCAUGGCAACACUUAUGUCCGAACCGGGGCCAUCGUGUCUCGUCUGGCUGCCGUUAUUGCAUCGGCUGGCCACGGUUGAGACAAUUGUGCAUCCGACGAUCUGUUCUGUUUGCCAUAAGGAAAACUUUACCGGAUUUCGUUAUCGUUGUCAGCGGUGUCACGCCUACCAAUUGUGCCAGGAGUGCUUUUGGCAUGGCAAGACAUCACUGAACCAUCAGAACGAUCACGAGGUCAAGGAGUACUCGAGCUACAAGUCGCCCAGCAAACAGAUUGGUCACUCCUUGCGCAAGAGCUUUCGGUGUGUGCCCGAGAAGACGACGCAAGUGUUGCCACGAUUCCCCGACCAGCCCGAAAAGACACUCAAUUUAUCGCACAUUGUGCCGCCAUCGCCGUUACCCUCGCACAAUGGCUUCUCCGAUCCAACGCUAGGCCACUUGCACGGUCCCGGUCCCGGUUCCGGCUCUGGUCCGGGGCCCGGACAUCCGGGCAUCUUUGAUCGUUCCAGUACGCUGGAUUCGCGCGCCACCGGACGCAGCCUGGACACGACCAUGUCCCGCGUAGCGGCCGCCUCGGCCAACGAUGAGGAGCAUCGCCUGAUUGCACGCUAUGCCGCGCGCCUGGCCCAGGAGAAUCGCGCUCCCUCCAACAUGCCCAAUGCGGAGAGCAUCACGCCCAUUGGCACGGAUAAUUCGCGUGCGCAGCGCGAGCUCAUCGCCCAGCUGGAGUCGAAGAACAAGGAGAUAAUGCGCGAAAUCGCGCGCCUGCGCCGCCAGCAGGAGACUGAGCAAAUGGCGCCCGAGAAUCCGGCGCUGAUCAAUGAGCUGCGCGCCCUGCGGCAGCGCAAGGGCGAGUUGGAGGGGCAUUUGGGCGCGCUGCAGGAUUCGCGGCGGCAACUGAUGGAACAGCUGGAGGGCCUGAUGCGCAUGCUCAAGAAUCAACAGACUGCCUCGCCGCGCUCCACGCCCAAUUCCAGUCCACGAUCCGGCAAAUCGCCGCCCAUGCCAGGUGGCACGGCGACAACAUCAGCUGGCGUCCUGGGCACCACGCCGAUGAGCGCCCUGCAUGCCCAGCAGUUGCAACAGCUGCAACAGCAUCCGAUGCUGCGCUCCACACAGCAACAGCUGUUGCAGCAGCAGCAGCAGCAGCAGGCGGCACAGCAAAGUCAAUCCUCGCCGGGCCUCGGCCACGGACCCUUCAGCCAGAGCCAGCUGGAGCAGCUCAACCAGAUCAGCAGCGACAUGCGUAGCGCCUUUGCCGCCAACGGCAGUGCAACCCCGCCGCCCAUAUUGAAUGCCAAUCCCAAUGCCGACGCGGAGCUGAACGCGACUGCCGACAACAUAACGUCGGCCAUUUCGACAAUGGUCAGCGAUCUGAAUGCAGAACAAUUCUUGCCGCCGGCUCGUUUCAUUAUGCCUUUGGGUAAGUCCUUCACGUCGACUCCGUUUCCGUCCUUCGUCGUUGCGACCAACUCUCUACCCUCCCCCCUUUCCUCUAGUUUUUUUUUGAUUUUUUGGUUUUUCUCAACAUUUUCUGUUAUUUUUCUUAUAGAUUAUUUCCCAAAUAGACGGCAUAAGAAAAAUUGCUGCAAAUGUUGAAUGUGCAAUUCAGUUGUUCUUUAUUGUUUAACAUUUUUACUUUCACUACCAAAAAAAAAAAAAAAAAUCAAAAAAAAAAUACCUCUCUCGUAUCCAUACGAACGAAUCCCAUUUCAAGAGUAUCGCCACAUCGAGGGCCGCGAAUCCGUUCCGGCCGGCUGCGGCGACUGCGAUUGUCUGGCUUACGAGGAGAUCUUUCGCACCGACGAGGAUCUUGAGUGCGAGGGUGCUGCCGCUCCUGAAGCUGCCACGCCCCUUUAUACAGAUCCCUUCGAUGAUGAAUUCGAUUAUAAUUUCGGCCAGAGCGAGGAGCAGUCCCAGCUAAAUCGCCUGCUCGCCUAUCGCCACCAUCCCGAGCUCUUUAUCGACGACGACGAGGCCGGGUUUCCGGCACUGCACGAGAUCGGUGAGACAAUCGAUGAGCUGCAGUUGAUAAUGCACGCUUACAUUAUGAAAUAUAGUUUGAAUAUAUAAAAAAACAAAAACAAGAGAAUUGAAAAACAUUUUUGUAGGUUCACGCGUUGUUCAGAUUUUGAUGAAACUCAAUCCUAUAAUCCCGAAUGGAAUGAAAAGGCAAAUGCGAAUAGCCAAUGGCAGGAGCAGUUUGCACAAUGGAGUCUCAAUUCACAAAAUAACUAAAGAAAAAAUAUAUAUAUAAAUGGAAAAUACAAACAAAAAAAAAA